rnacentral:rRNA from 1 species
CCUACGGGUGGCUGCAGUGAGGAAUAUUGGUCAAUGGGCGCGAGUCUGAACCAGCCAAGUAGCGUGAAGGAUGACUGCCCUACGGGUUGUAAACUUCUUUUAUAAAGGAAUAAAGUGAGGUACGUGUGCCUUUUUGUAUGUACCUUAUGAAUAAGGAUCGUCUAACUCCGUGCCAGCAGCCGCGGUAAUACGGAGGAUCCGAGCGUUAUCCGGAUUUAUUGGGUUUAAAGGGAGCGUAGGUGGGUUGUUAAGUCAGUUGUGAAAGUUUGCGGCUCAACCGUAAAAUUGCAGUUGAUACUGGGAGUCUUGAGUACAGUAGAGGUAGGCGGAAUUCGUGGUGUAGCGGUGAAAUGCUUAGAUAUCACGAAGAACUCCGAUUGCGAAGGCAGCUUACUAGACUGCCACUGACAUUGAUGCUCGAAAGUGUGGGUAUCAAACAGGAUUAGAUACCCGGGUAGUC